rnacentral:rRNA from 1 species
GACGUAGGUGGCGAACGUUAUCCGGAAUUAUUGGGCGUAAAGGGUGCGUAGGCGGCAUGAUAAGUUAUUGGCGGCAAAAUCGAGGCUCAACCUCGUGGAAAACUGAUAAUACUGUCUUGCUUUGAGUGCAGAAGAGGUUAAACGGAACUCCAUGUGGAGCGGUAAAAAUGUGUAGAUAUAUGGAAAGAACAUCAAUAACGGCGAAGGCAGUUAACUAUUCUGUUUACUGACGUUGAGGCACGA